GCAUCGGUGGUUUAGUGGUAAAAUUAGCCGUUGCCAUCCAUCACAGGGACAGUUUCGGCUAGCCCCGGGUUCGAUUCCCGGCCGAUGCA